rnacentral:sRNA from 1 species
UUCCGUAGGUGAACCUGCGGAAGGAUCAUUACAGAGCUCAUGCCCGAAAGGGUAGACCUCCCACCCUUGUGUAUUUUAUACUUUGUUGCUUUGGCGGACCCGCCGCAAGGCCACCGGCUUCGGCUGGUGCGUGCCCGCCAGAGGACCCCCAAACUCUGAAUGUUAGUGUCGUCUGAGUACUAUAUAAUAGUUAAAACUUUCAACAACGGAUCUCUUGGUUCUGGCAUCGAUGAAGAACGCAGCGAAAUGCGAUAAGUAAUGUGAAUUGCAGAAUUCAGUGAAUCAUCGAAUCUUUGAACGCACAUUGCGCCCCUUGGUAUUCCGGGGGGCAUGCCUGUUCGAGCGUCAUUUCAACCCCUCAAGCUCUGCUUGGUGUUGGGCCCCGCUGGCAACGGCGGGCCUUAAAGAUAGUGGCGGUGCCCUGAGGCCCUGAGCGUAGUACAUCUCUCGCUACAGGUCCUGGAGGGUCACUGGCCAGCAACCCCAAAUCUUCUAUGGUUGACCUCGGAUCAGGUAGGGAUACCCGCUGAACUUAAGCAUAUCAAUAAGCGGAGGAACCUUGUUUCUAGUUUUCACGAAAGCUGAAUGUGCAAGAAGGAACAUUCGAAUUGCAGGAUUUCGGUUUGGUCUCAACCGC